AAUCCAUGCUGUGGGCAUUUUUUAAUCAACAUCUUGAACCAUUCCCACGCCUCAUAAAAAAUUUCUCUCCCCAUCUAUCUGAUGAUAGCGAUCUCUCUUCUUAGUUG
rnacentral:snoRNA from 1 species